AUGUAGGGCAAUCUUUACCUCUAAGCAAGGAUAAAAUUAUUCUAAAAGAAAUAACUCCUAAGUGACUUUUUCUUUGCAGCUAAGAAUUUUAU
rnacentral:pre_miRNA from 1 species